UUGUACAUUUACUGGUACAUGACUGCACAUAAUCGGCCAUAUCCUGUUUUUUUUAAUGGCUGAUUAUAUUUCAGUGAUAUUACUUGGCCCUCUAUGCUAGACAAAAAUUCCUGUAGUAAUGAGGUAUACUCUCAUGGGGUUUAUAUGUAUUAAAAUUUGCUUGCUCUUAAUUUAACUUGAAGACUUAAACUGUCUAUUUUAAAUGAUGUUUUUUUUAAUUUUUCUUUUGUAUAUAUUUUCUCAAUGGACACACUUUCUGCAUUUCCAAUGGGUGACUUUGACCAAAACUAUGAUGAACAUUCUUUUCUCUGUGCUAUAUGACAACCAACAUUGCCUUCACAAGCCCGCAAACAUGUUGAAGCCAGACAGCAAAAUGAAAAAGUCAUAGCAAAUGACCUGGACGGUUCAGUUGUUAGCCUUGUAGAAAGUAAGCAUCUAUUUUUAAACUAAUAU
rnacentral:lncRNA from 1 species